GCAUUCGGCAGUCUAUACAUGCAGUCGAGGGGCAGCACAGGUAGCAAUACUGGGUGGCGACCGGCAAACGGGUGCGGAACACGUACGCAACCUUCCUUCUCGCGGGGAAUAUCCCCCAGAAAUUUGGAUUAAUACCCCCUAAAAAUGUGGUCAGGCAUCUGACAGCAUUUAAAGAUUUAUCACUUGAAGAUGGGCGUGCGUCUGAUUAUGUAGUUGGUGAGGUAACGGCUCACCAAGCCGACAAUCACUAACUGGGGUGAGAGCGCGACCAGUCACACGGGCACUGAGACACGGGCCCGACUCCUACGGGAGGCAGCAGUAAGGAAUAUUGGUCAAUGGACGCAAGUCUGAACCACCCAUGCCGCGUGGAGGAUGAAAGUCCUCUGGAUUGUAAACUUCUUUUAUUUGGGACAAAACACUUUCUUUCUAUAGAGCUUGACGGUACCAGAUGAAUAAACACCGGCUAACUCCGUGCCACCACCCGCGGUAAUACGGAGGGUGCAAGCGUUAUCCGGAUUCACUGGGUUUAAAGGGUGCGUAUGCGGACUUGUAAGUCCGUGGUGAAAUCUCUGAGAUUAACUCGCAAACUGCCAUGGAUACUAUAAGUCUUGAAUGUUGUGGAGGUUAGCGGAAUAUGUCAUGUAUCGGUGAAAUGCUUAUAUAUGACAUAUAACACCGAUUGCGAAGGCAGCUGGCUACACAAUUAUUGACGCUGAGGCACGAAAGCGUGUGGAUCAAACAGGAUUAUAUACCCUGGGAGUCCACGCCCUAUACGAUGGAUACUCUACAUUUGCGAUACAUUGUAAGUGUCUGAGAGAAAGCAUUAUGUAUCCCACCUGUGAAGUACGACCGCAAGGUUGAGACUCACAGGAGUUGACAGGGGUCCGCACAAGCGGUGGAGCAUGUGGUUUAUUUCUAUGAUACGCGAGGAACCUUACCUGGGCUAUAAUGCGCAUUGACCGUGGGUGAGAGCUCACUUUGUAGCAAUACACAGUCUGUAAGUGCUGCAUGGCUGUCGUCAGCUCGUGCGCUGAGAUGUGGGUUAAGUCCCGCAACGAGACGCAACCCUAUACUAGUUGCCAGCACGUAAUGGUGGGAACUCUAUGAAACUGCCGCUCGUAGACGCAAGAGGAGGGAUUAUUGUCCAGUCAUUCAUGGCCUUUAUGCCCAGGGCUACACACGUGCUACAAUGGUAGAGACAAAGGGCUGCUACUUGGUAACAAGCUGCUAAUCUCAAAAACUCUAUCUCAGUUCGGAUUGAGGUCUGCAACUCGACCUCAUGAAGCUGGAAUCGCUAGUAAUCGUAUAUCAGCAAUGAUACGGUGAAUACGUUCCCGGACCUUGUACACACCGCCCGUCAAGCCAUGAAAGUCGGGGGGACCUGAAGUCGGCAACCGCAAGAACCGCCUAGGGUAAAAUUUAGUUG
rnacentral:rRNA from 1 species